AUUGAACGCUGGCGGCGGGCUUAACACAUGCAAGUCGAACGAGUGGCGAACGGGUGAGUAAUGCCUCGGAACGUACCGAGUAGUGGGGGAUAACUAUCCGAAAGGGCAGCUAAUACCGCAUAUUAUCCGAGCGGCCGAUCUCGGAUUAGCUGGUUGGCGGGGUAACGGCCCACCAAGGCGACGAUCAGUAGCGGGUCUGAGAGGAUGAUCAGCCACACUGGUACUGAGACACGGUCCAGACUCCUACGGGAGGCAGCAGUGGGGAAUUUUGGACAAUGGGCGCAAGCCUGAUGCAGCCAUGCCGCGUGUAUGAAGAAGGCCUUCGGGUUGUAAAGGACUUUUGUCAGGGAAGCGGUACCUGAAGAAGAAGCACCGGCUAACUACGUGCCAGCAGCCGCGGUAAUAC
rnacentral:rRNA from 1 species